rnacentral:rRNA from 1 species
GCCAGCGGCCAUACUGCGUCGAAUACACCGGGAUCCCAUCCGAACUCUGAAGUAAGCGGCGCACGCCCGGAUAGUACUGGGGGUGGG